GAUGAAGAACGCAGUGAAAUGCGAUACGUAGUGUGAAUUGCAGAAUUCAGUGAAUCAUCGAAUCUUUGAACGCACAUUGCACCUCUCGGUAUUCCGGGAGGUAUGCCUGUUCGAGCGUCAUUUGUACCCUCAAGCUCUGCUUGGUGUUGGGUGUUUGUUCCGCCUCUGUGUGUGAACUCGCCUCAAAACAAUUGGCAGCCGGCGUACUUGUUUCGGAGCGCAGCACAUUUUGCGAUCCAGAUCAACGUACAGCGGCAUCCAAGAAGCCUUAUUUAACGCUCUUGACCUCGGAUCAGGUAGGGAUACCCGCUGAACUUAAGCAUAUCAUACGGAGGA
rnacentral:misc_RNA from 1 species